rnacentral:ncRNA from 2 species
UUUUUUCACUAGGGGAGCGAAAGCUGAGAAUCUUAAAGAUGACCCUUGGAACCUGAUAGGUAAUGCUAGCGUAGGGAAGUGUUUUUUAUACUCA